GGACAGAAGCAGGGGCAACGACAGAGAGAGAGAGAGCGAGAGAGAGGGGUUCAGAGCAAGUCGAGGCAACGAGAGAGAGAGAGGGUUGUAGAGAUCAAAUUCCAAAUUCCAGAAAAUAUCGCAUUCUCAUGCACGCAUUGAAACUGAGCACAGCCCCAAUCAUGAAGAAGAAGACGAUGCCGACGACUACACCCAUUCCAUCUCCUCCCUUAACUCCUCCAACCCCACAACUCAUCUCCAAAAUACCCAAAAGCCUCCUUAAACCCACCUCAACCCCAAUCACAAAAUGGGCUCCUCUCAAUCUCUCAAAAUCCGAGCUUUCCUUGCCUCUGACGUUCCCCACGGGCCAAACCUUCAGGUGGAAACAAACCGGGCCUCUUCAGUACACCGGAGCCGUUGGGCCUCAUCUGGUUUCUCUCAAGCACUUAACAAACGGCGACGUUUCCUACUGCCUUCACCGUACUUCUUCUCCCUCCUCCGAAGCCGAGGCUUUAGUGGCUUUGAGGGAUUUUCUCAAUGUGGGUAUUUGCCUUAGUGACGUUUGGGAGGUGUUUUCGGCUUCGGACUCGAGGUUCGCCGAGUUGGCUGGACAUUUGGGUGGUGCACGUGUGCUCAGGCAAGACCCACUGGAGUGUUUGAUGCAGUUUCUUUGUUCAUCUAACAACAACAUUCAGAGAAUAACGAAGAUGGUGAAUUUUAUUUCGUCAUUGGGGAAUUAUUUAGGGACCAUUGAAGGUUUUGAGUUCCACGAGUUUCCAUCUUUGGAACGAUUGUCAACAGUAGCAGAGCAAGAGCUUAGAGAGGCCGGUUUUGGUUAUAGGGCUAAAUAUAUUACUGGUACGGUAAAGGCGCUGCAAUCGAAACAUGGUGGAGGCGUAGAGUGGCUUUUGUCUCUUCGUAAAGUAGAUCUUGACGAGGCCAUUGAUGCCCUUUUAACUUUGCCUGGAGUUGGUCCUAAAGUAGCAGCCUGCAUAGCUCUCUUCUCUCUUGACCAACACCAUGCCAUUCCUGUAGACACACACGUUUGGCAGAUUGCUACAAGACACCUGCUACCAGAGUUGGCCGGUGCUCGCUUGACACCUAAGCUGUGCAGCCGUGUGGCAGAGGCAUUUGUGAACAAAUAUGGCAAGUAUGCUGGAUGGGCUCAGACUCUGCUUUUUAUUGCUGAAUUACCGUCACAAAAGGCAAUUCUGCCAUCUCAUUUUUCUAAUGCAAAAGGGAAAAAAUCUGUCAAGAGAAAGAUUGUGGAAACUAAUACCACUUCAGAAAAUGUAAUAAAUGAUAUCGAAGAGGGGUGACUCAAAUGGUCAGGUAUAUGGUUUGCUCCCAUAAGAUUUGAAAUUCGAGUCUCUCCUGGACAUAAUCGAUAUUGUUUUUUUCUCCCCAAAUAUCUUGGGUUAGGGGAGCCUAGUUUCGGGGGGAAAUGUAACUGGUGAUUGCUAAUUCUUUGUAACCUUGAAAAUUGUCAGAUUGUUUCAGUCUUCUAGCUCCAGGAAAUCAAACAUCAAUGUAAAUUAUUGAAAGCAAUGUACUUGCAAUCUGGUAGGAUACUAAUGGACACACGAGGCAGAAAAUAAGAGACAUUAUGAAAGAGGACAGUGGCAUCUUUGCUAUGUCUGUUCACUAGGAAAGCAACACAUUCUUCUGAGUUGUAGUCUCCAUACACAUAAGCCUUGAAAAACAAGAUACACCAGUUAUAUGUACAACCACUAAUAUGUCCUAAACUAAAGAAGAAUC